rnacentral:misc_RNA from 1 species
CAGUAUGAUUAGAGGUGUUGAUGCUGGCCUUUUAUUAAGGCAUGUGCUCGCUCUUCGACUUCAAUCCACAUACACCUGUGCACCCAUGGCGAGUUCAGUCCCUCAGUAUGGUUUUCGGACCGUGAUUUGGGGCUGGCUUGUCAUAUCUUAUACACAUUAAUACCAGUUAAACGCAUGUCUUACCGCUCUACGGAGCAAAACAUUAUA